UACGUAGGGUGCGAGCGUUGUCCGGAAUUAUUGGGGGUAAAGGGCUCGUAGGCGGUCUGUCACGUCGGGAGUGAAAACACGGGGCUUAACCCCGUGCCUGCUUCCGAUACGGGCAGACUAGAGGUAUGCAGGGGAGAACGGAAUCCCUGGUGUAGCGGUGAAAUGCGCAGAUAUCAGGAGGAACACCGGUGGCGAAGGCGGUUCUCUGGGCAUUACCUGACGCUGAGGAGCGAAAGUGUGGGGAGCGAACAGG
rnacentral:rRNA from 1 species